UUACAUUUGAAUACGUGGUCAAAAAUUAUACAAUUUAUUGGUCACAAUCCCAAGUAAUUGGGGUCACAAACACCCCAUUCCAUCCUCAUCCAUCGUCAUUGCCACUAUUCGCACAUACAAAACAACACACCAACUUACCAUCACUGUAGCACCAUUGUCACCAACACCUACACCACCAAUGAUUUAGCCACGCCUCUAACACCACCAACGCGAUCAGCUUUCCAUCUCAACCACACUAAAACAACAAUUCCCACCCAAAAAACCCCCAAAGCUAUCGCUGCGGACCACCAAAAAAAUCAUCGCCACUGCAACACCGACACUCACGCUGCCCAAAAUUGGCACCACAAUCAUCACCGCCAAAGCUAGUAACCACUACCACCAGCAAAACACACAAUCCAAACUACUUUACAACUACCACAAAAAUCAAAUUCAUGGCUGAAGAUCACCCUAAAGCUAUGGUCGAGCAUCGAUGUGCACAGGGCUCAAAUUGUCGCGACGAUGUGAAAGAGCUACUUAAAUCAAGGCAUGUAAUAGGAAUGGAAACGUACAGCUCACAGCAUCGCUACUCCCAACGGUCAAUGACGUCGUUGCGCCAGAGAUCUUCUUUCAGGGGGAAGCGUCGUUGAGAAAGAAGAGAGUGACUUGUGUGUUUAGAGAGAAAGAGGAAUG
rnacentral:lncRNA from 1 species